AGAGUUUUUUCCUGGCUCACGAUGAACGCUGGCGGCGUGCUUAACACAUGCAAGUCGAACGAAGCACUGGAGAACCAAUCUUCGGAGGAAGUCUCCUUUGACUGAGUGGCGGACGGGUGAGUAACGCGUGGGUAACCUGCCUCACACAGGGGGGAUAACAGUUGGAAACGACCGCUAAUACCGCAUAAGCCGGAAGGAUCGCAUGAUCCGGCCGGAAAAGAUUUAUCGGUGUGAGAUGGACCCGCGUCUGAUUAGCCAGUUGGCAGGGUAACGGCCUACCAAAGCGACGAUCAGUAGCCGGCCUGAGAGGGUGAACGGCCACAUUGGGACUGAGACACGGCCCAAACUCCUACGGGAGGCAGCAGUGGGGAAUAUUGCACAAUGGGGGAAACCCUGAUGCAGCGACGCCGCGUGAGUGAAGAAGUAUUUCGGUAUGUAAAGCUCUAUCAGCAGGGAAGAAAAUGACGGUACCUGACUAAGAAGCCCCGGCUAACUACGUGCCAGCAGCCGCGGUAAUACGUAGGGGGCAAGCGUUAUCCGGAUUUACUGGGUGUAAAGGGAGCGUAGACGGCCAGACAAGUCAGAAGUGAAAGCCCAGGGCUCAACCCUGGGACUGCUUUUGAAACUGCCGGGCUGGAGUGCAGGAGAGGUAAGCGGAAUUCCUAGUGUAGCGGUGAAAUGCGUAGAUAUUAGGAGGAACACCAGUGGCGAAGGCGGCUUACUGGACUGUAACUGACGUUGAGGCUCGAAAGCGUGGGGAGCAAACAGGAUUAGAUACCCUGGUAGUCCACGCCGUAAACG
rnacentral:rRNA from 1 species